GCGAACGCUGGCGGCAGGCUUAACCCAUGCAAGUCGAGCGGGCACUUUCGGGUGUCAGCGGCGGACGGGUGAGUAACGCGUGGGAACGUGCCCUCUGGUUCGGAAUAACUCAGGGAAACUUGAGCUAAUACCGGAUACGCCCUUUUGGGGAAAGGCUUGCUGCCGGAGGAUCGGCCCGCGUCUGAUUAGCUAGUUGGUGAGGUAACGGCUCACCAAGGCGACGAUCAGUAGCUGGUCUGAGAGGAUGAUCAGCCACACUGGGACUGAGACACGGCCCAGACUCCUACGGGAGGCAGCAGUGGGGAAUAUUGGACAAUGGGCGCAAGCCUGAUCCAGCCAUGCCGCGUGAGUGAUCAAGGCCUUAGGGUUGUAAAGCUCUUUUAUCCGGGACGAUAAUGACGGUACCGGAGGAAUAAGCCCCGGCUAACUUCGUG
rnacentral:rRNA from 1 species